UGGGGAAUAUUGCACAAUGGGGGAAACCCUGAUGCAGCGACGCCGCGUGAGCGAAGAAGGUUUUCGAAUCGUAAAGCUCUGUCCUAUGAGAAGAUAAUGACGGAAUCAUAGGAGGAAGCCCCGGCUAAAUACGUGCCAGCAGCCGCGGUAAUACGUAUGGGGCGAGCGUUGUCCGGAAUUAUUGGGCGUAAAGCGCGCGCAGGUGGUUUAGAAAGUCUGAUGUGAAAGCCCACGGCUCAACCGUGGAGGGUCAUUGGAAACUAAUAAACUUGAGUGCAGGAGAGAAAAGUGGAAUUCCUAGUGUAGCGGUGAAAUGCGUAGAGAUUAGGAGGAACACCGGUGGCGAAAGCGGCUUUUUGGCCUGCAACUGACACUGAGGCGCGAAAGCGUGGGGAGCAAACAGG
rnacentral:rRNA from 1 species